AUGGCCGCCGCCGUCCCCAUCCCGGCCCCGGCGCCCGCGGCCGACGACGAGAUCGUCUACGAGUCCAUGCCCUGCAUCCGCAUCUACAAGAACCGCGUCGAGCGCUACUUCGGCUCCGAGUUCGUCGCCGCCUCCGCCCACGCCGACGCCGCCACCGGGGUCGCCUCCCGCGACCGCGUCAUCUCCCCCGAGGUCUCCGCGCGCCUCUACCUCCCCCACAUCGACCCCGCCAAGCCCGACAACGCCAAGCUCCCCGUCCUCGUCUACUACCACGGCGGCGGCUUCUGCCUCGGCUCCGCCUUCAACCCCACCUUCCACGCCUACUUCAACAACCUCGCCGCGCUCGCCGGCGUCCUCGUCGUCUCCGUCGAGUACCGCCUCGCGCCCGAGCACCCCGUCCCCGCCGCCUACGCCGACUCCUGGGACGCGCUCGCCUGGGUCGUCUCCCACGCCGCCCCCGCCGCCGCUGGCUUUGAGCCCUGGCUCGCCGACCACGCCGACUUCGCCCGCCUCUACCUCGGCGGCGAGAGCGCCGGCGCCAACAUCGCGCACCACGUGGCGAUGCGGGUGGGCGCGGAGGGGCUGCCCCACGGCGCCGCGAUCCACGGCCUCCUCAUGAUCCACCCCUACUUCCUCGGCACCGAUAAGGUGGCCUCCGACGACCUGGACCCGGCGGCGCGGGAGAGCCUGGCCAGCCUGUGGCGCGUCAUGUGCCCGACCACCACCGGGGAGGACGACCCGCUCAUCAACCCGUUCGUGGACGGUGCGCCGGGGCUGGACGCCCUGGCGUGCCGGCGUGUGCUGGUGUGCAUCGGCGAGGGCGACGUGCUCCGCGACCGCGGCCGCGCCUACUACGACCGGCUCAGGGCGAGCGGGUGGAGCGGGGAGGCCGACAUUUGGCAGGCGCCGGGGAAGGGGCACACCUUCCACCUCCUCGAGCCCUGCUGCGAAGAGGCCGUCGCCCAGGACAAGGUCAUCGCCGAGUUCCUCAACAAUUGA
rnacentral:rRNA from 1 species